rnacentral:rRNA from 1 species
GAUGAACGCUGGCGGCGUGCCUAAUACAUGCAAGUCGAGCGAACGGACGAGAAGCUUGCUUCUCUGAUGUUAGCGGCGGACGGGUGAGUAACACGUGGAUAACCUACCUAUAAGACUGGGAUAACUUCGGGAAACCGGAGCUAAUACCGGAUAAUAUUUUGAACCGCAUGGUUCAAAAGUGAAAGACGGUCUUGCUGUCACUUAUAGAUGGAUCCGCGCUGCAUUAGCUAGUUGGUAAGGUAACGGCUUACCAAGGCAACGAUGCAUAGCCGACCUGAGAGGGUGAUCGGCCACACUGGAACUGAGACACGGUCCAGACUCCUACGGGAGGCAGCAGUAGGGAAUCUUCCGCAAUGGGGCAAAACCUGACGGAGCAACGCCGCGUGAGUGAUGAAGGUCUUCGGAUCGUAAAACUCUGUUAUUAGGGAAGAACAUAUGUGUAAGUAACUGUGCACAUCUUGACGGUACCUAAUCAGAAAGCCACGGCUAACUACGUG